rnacentral:rRNA from 1 species
GACGAACGCUGGCGGCGUGCCUAAUACAUGCAAGUUGAGCGCUGAGGGUUGGUACUUGUCCCAACUGGAUGAGCAGCGAACGGGUGAGUAACGCGUGGGGAAUCUGCCUUUGAGCGGGGGACAACAUUUGGAAACGAAUGCUAAUACCGCAUAAAAACUUUAAACACAAGUUUUAAGUUUGAAAGAUGCAAUUGCAUCACUCAAAGAUGAUCCCGCGUUGUAUUAGCUAGUUGGUGAGGUAAAGGCUCACCAAGGCGAUGAUACAUAGCCGACCUGAGAGGGUGAUCGGCCACAUUGGGACUGAGACACGGCCCAAACUCCUACGGGAGGCAGCAGUAGGGAAUCUUCGGCAAUGGACGAAAGUCUGACCGAGCAACGCCGCGGGAGGGAAGAAGGGUUUCGGAUCGUAAAACUCUGUUGGUAGAGAAGAACGUUGGUGAGAGUGGAAAGCUCAUCAAGUGACGGUAACUACACAGAAAGGGACGGCUAACUACGUG